rnacentral:rRNA from 1 species
GAUGAACGCUGGCGGCGUGCCUAAUACAUGCAAGUCGAGCGAACAGACGAGGAGCUUGCUCCUCUGACGUUAGCGGCGGACGGGUGAGUAACACGUGGAUAACCUACCUAUAAGACUGGGAUAACUUCGGGAAACCGGAGCUAAUACCGGAUAAUAUAUUGAACUGCAUGGUUCAAUAGUGAAAGACGGUUUUGCUGUCACUUAUAGAUGGAUCCGCGCCGCAUUAGCUAGUUGGUAAGGUAACGGCUUACCAAGGCAACGAUGCGUAGCCGACCUGAGAGGGUGGUCGGACACACUGGAACUGAGACACGGUCCAGACUCCUACGGGAGGCAGCGGUAGGGAAUCUUCCGCGAUGGGCGAAAGCCUGACGGAGCAACGCCGCGUGAGUGAUGAAGGUCUUCGGAUCGUAAAACUCUGUUAUUAGGGGAGAACGAAUGUGUAAGUAACUAUGCACGUCUUGACGGUACCUAAUCAAAAAGCCACGGCUAACUACGUG